rnacentral:rRNA from 1 species
CCUACGGGAGACAGCAGUAGGGAAUAUUGCUCAAUGGGGGAAACCCUGAAGCAGCAACGCCGCGUGGAGGAUGAAGGUUUUCGGAUGGUAAACUCCUUUUGUCAGGGAAGAUAAUGACGGAAUCUAACGAAUAAGCACCGGCUAACUCCGUGCCAGCAGCCGCGGUAAGACGGAGGGUGCAAGCGUUAAUCGGAGUCACUGGGGGUAAAGAGAGCGUAGGCGGGAUAGCAAGUCAGAUGUGAAAUCCUAUGGCUUAACCAUAGAACUGCAUUUGAAACUGUUAUUCUAGAGUAUGGGUGAGGUAGGUGGAAUGCGUGGUGUAGGGGUAAAAUCCGUAGAGAUCAAGAGGAAUACUCAUUGCGAAGGCGACCGGCGAGAACAUAACUGACGCUGAUGCGCGAAAGCGUGGGGAGCAAACAGGAUUAGAUACCCUUGUAGUC